CGGCGAGGGACAAGAGAUACGACAGGUGGGGUUCUGGUCCUGAACCUGUAGUCGUGCUGGUUUAAUUCUUUUAAACAAAGCAGGUCGGGUCAGAAGUGCUCCUUGACCUCUACUCACAGUGGCCGGGUCUUGAGGACGAGCUUGGAGAAGGACCUCGACCAUAACAACCUCAAGGAUGAUGCUUUAGACCCAACGUGUGAGAACCACAGCGGAGGAGAGAGUCGCCAGAAGGUGACGGCUGCCCCGCAUCACUACCUCCACCCCGUGCAACAAACUGUG